CUGGCCUUCCAGGGAGAACAAGAAGAGAAACACCCAGAGCCUCCUCCUGGGCAAGGGGUGUUUCUAAUGCUUGCUCCCAGGGCUGCUGAGUCUUUGUGGAAGGCUUGGGGUUUCUGAGCUGCCAGAGAGAGAGGCUAUACCACCCCCAAUCCGUACAUACAGAAACAAAGGGAAAAAAUGUGCUUUCUCUGGGAUGCACAUCCUGGCCCUCCCAUGCUCACCCGGAUGCCCCUGCAUGUGCCUCUGCA